rnacentral:rRNA from 1 species
GGAUUGCCCUAGUAACGGCGAGUGAAGCGGCAACAGCUCAAAUUUGAAAUCUGGCUCUUUUAGGGCCCGAGUUGUAAUUUGCAGAGGGUGCUUUGGUGUUGGCAGUGGUUCAAGUUCCUUGGAACAGGACGUCACAGAGGGUGAGAAUCCCGUACGUGGUCGCUACCCUUCGCCGUGUAAAGCCCCUUCGACGAGUCGAGUUGUUUGGGAAUGCAGCUCUAAAUGGGAGGUAAAUUUCUUCUAAAGCUAAAUACUGGCCAGAGACCGAUAGCGCACAAGUAGAGUGAUCGAAAGAUGAAAAGCACUUUGGAAAGAGAGUCAAAUAGCACGUGAAAUUGUUGAAAGGGAAGCGCUUGCAGCCAGACUUGCCUGUAGUUGCUCAUCCGGGCUUUUGCCCGGUGCACUCUUCUGCGGGCAGGCCAGCAUCAGUUUGGGCGGUUGGAUAAAGGUCUCUAUCACGUACCUCUCUUCGGGGAGGCCUUAUAGGGGAGACGUCAUGCAGCCAGCCUAAACUGAGGUCCGCGCAUUCGCUAGGAUGCUGGCGUAAUGGCUGUAAGCGGCCCGUCUUGAAACACGGACCAAGGAGUCUAACAUCUAUGCGAGUGUUUGGGUGUUAAGCCCGAACGCGUAAUGAAAGUGAACGGAGGUGGGACCCCGUUAGGGUGCACCAUCGACCGAUCCUGAUGUCUUCGGAUGGAUUUGAGUAAGAGCAUGGCUGUUGGGACCCGAAAGAUGGUGAACUAUGCUUGAAUAGGGUGAAGCCAGAGGAAACUCUGGUGGAGGCUCGCAGCGGUUCUGACGUGCAAAUCGAUCGUCAAAUUUGGGCAUAGGGGCGAAAGACUAAUCGAACUAUCUAGUAGCUGGUUCCUGCCGAAGUUUCCCUCAGGAUAGCAGUAACGUAUUCAGUUUUAUGAGGUAAAGCGAAUGAUUAGAGGCCUGGGGGUUGAAACAACCUUCACCUAUUCUCAAACUUUAAAUAUGUAA